AUACGUAGGGGGCAAGCGUUAUCCGGAUUUACUGGGUGUAAAGGGAGCGUAGACGGCAAAGCAAGUCUGAAGUGAAAGCCCCGGGCUCAACCCGGGAAUUGCUUUGGACACUGUUUAGCUGGAGCGCAGGCGAGGUAAGCGGCAUUCCUAGAGUAGCGGUGAAAUGCGUAGAUAUUAGGAGGAUCACCGGCGGCGAAGGCGGCUUACUGGACUGUAACUGACGUUGAGGCUCGAAAGCGUGGGGAGCAAACAGGAUUAGAUACCCUGGUAGUCCACGCCGUAAACGAUGAUUACUAGGUGUUGGUUGUCAUAGACAAUCGGUGCCGCAGCAAACGCAAUAAGUAAUCCACCUGGGGAGUACGUUCGCAAGAAUGAAACUCAAAUGAAUCGACGGGG
rnacentral:rRNA from 1 species